rnacentral:tRNA from 1 species
AGAGCUUUAGUUUAAGUAAAACGUCUGUGUUGCAAGCAGGAGAUGUGAUGUUCGCAAGUUCUC